CUCUGUGAUGCCCCUCUGACAUCCUGCCCUGCCUUGAGCCAGUCAACUAUGAACUGGAACCUCUAAUGUGAACUGGCAACUCUGAAACUUCUAUUUUCUUUGUUCUGAGGAAAGCUGGCCAUGUUGUAAGGACACGUAAGCUGCCUACUGAGAGAUCUGCAUGAGGAACUGAGGCCCUUUGUCAACAGCCAUGUGAAGGGACAUUACUUAAGCCUUCAGAUAAGACUAUAGCCCCAGCCAACAUCUUGACUGCAACCCUAUGAACUGGUGAUCAACAGCAACUGCGAAUUAAUGAAUGACUAUUCUCUUAAGCCAUGAAAUGAUAACAUACAAUGACACAAGGGCCAGGCAUAAAAUCAGACAAGUCUGAGAGACUUCUUCAACUCAAAACUUAAACUCUAAAUUUUACUCAGUCCGUCAUAACUCUUUAUCAGUGGUGCUGAC
rnacentral:lncRNA from 1 species